CAAAACGAUGCAAAUAAUUAAGGAAAUAACAAAACUAACCCUCGUGACAAACCGAAACUCCUCCACAUAACGACCGGCAGCUUCCGGACUCCCUCUUUGCAUCAUCGGCAGACCCUUUGCCAUAGUCAUCGGCAGACUUUCUUAUCUAGCCAUCGGCACCAUAUUACUGCCUGUGGACUUAGUCACGUUCAACUUCUCCCUCAUCAGCAACCAUCCUCAUCGGCAACCCACUUUGUAAACAUCGUACUGCCACCUUAUCCUGCCAUCCUAGACACGUGCCCAAAAACGGUGUCAACAGAGCUGCUGUUUAUCUGUUCCUAGAGAUGCUAGAAUUCUGGAGAAUUUUAUCUUUGAAAAUCUUUAAAAUGUUGCAUGAUGAGUUCCUGUAUGAUGAGAGUUUAAAUUCCUACCACAGCCAUAUAUACAUGCUUUUUAGACUUUGAGCCACACAUUUAUUAUUUACUGCUUAUGAGCAUUGAGUGUGGUCAAGCUGUGUAGACCCUUAGGAGCUUGUCAUGUGGUUAAAUCAAGAUUCACUUGCACGUUCACUCAUAUAUGCUACUUCUACUCCGGAAGUACCAUCCACAUAUAUCCAUUCAUUUCCAUCUCCAGAACCACCUAAAAAUAUUCUACUCCUAAUCCGGGAGAGAAUAACCAAAAAUAUUUCUAUUUUCCCCUUGUGAAAUAAAUGCUCAAGUUAUCUUGUUACUACCACUUGCUAUAUUAUCUCAAGAGAUGAGUGCUCUAAAAAUAUAUAUAUAUAUAUAUACGAGGAAAUAAAAAGGAGCAAGUGCUCGGAACCUCGAAAGAAAAUAAAAAGUGAGACGAGAGGUAAAAAUGGACAAGUGUCCGAUAGUAGAAUUAGGGGUGCAAGAUACCCACCUGAGAGACAAAAGAAAAAAAAAGAAAGAAGAAGAAGAGCAUCUCAUUCUCCUCAUAAAGUUUCAAAAGCAAGGAAGGUAUGUAUCCCCUCAAAAGAGCAACAAUGAUAUUAAGAAUAAGAAACUCAUACUCUACCAUCUCACAUUCCAUAAUGACUUAAGUAACACAAGGUUUUUAAAAUGAUUUUUUUUAAUAAUUGUAAGUUUUAGGAAAUAUCAGAGAGUGAGAUUAAUCAUGAUUAGAAACAUUUUAAUCUUUUUAAUUUAUCAUGUCGGAAACAAUAUUCUGCAUAAUCUAAGAUAUAUAUAUGUGUAAUAGUAAAUGUGCAGAGUGUGUACCUGAAUCGUGGAGUGUUGUAGUCGAAGUGUGUUUGGCAUGUCGAGGGAUCUCCCCCAUACUUGUUUUCUGCUUUCUUGUACAAGAAUAAAGUAGAGAUACACAAGACAUAAUAGUAAUAAUAAUAAUACUCUUUAUUAAUCUUGAGGCAUUUAUUACAAAAGACUAGUAGCAAACUGACGAUAAUAGUAACAAACCGAUGAUAAUAGUAAACCUAAACCAAAUUUUAAAGAUAGAUAACUAAGAUGCAUUGCCUCAAGGUCUAAUCUAGAUAACUUAGCGGCGCUCUAAUUCCUUAAUCUUCUUAUUGGCAGUAGCAAGAUCAUGCCUAAGGCCUAAUAUAAUGGUGUUGUGGUUAGAGAGCUGCCUAGUGAGGGAAUUAAUCGAGGACUGGAGGUCUAUGAUAACUCUGUCUAGCCUGUGAACGUCCUCAUCAAUAUCGACUAUAGUCUUGCGACGC
rnacentral:lncRNA from 1 species